GGAGAGGUGGCCGAGCGGUUUAAGGCAGCGCUCUUGAAAAGCGCCGAGGCGUCAGCCUCCGUGGGUUCGAAUCCCACCCUCUCCG
rnacentral:tRNA from 1 species